GUUGUUUGGGCUCUUCUGGCUGUUCCGGGUGGAUAUUAUAACAGAACAUGGCCAAGAUGUUCAUAAAUGACCAGCAUGGUCAAAUAAUAGUAGGGCCUAUGGAACAACAACACCGCUAUGGUUAAUGAAUUGCUAUGCAUUCGGAUGACACAUUACUUUAGUUCUAUUUCUUUUAUUGAAGAGUGCUGUAUAACUGUCAUCUGAUGUACUAAACUUGAGAGCGUUGAGUUUGCAGGUAUUGAACGAGGCUGUAGGAGCUCUGAUGUACUAAACCUCAUAGCGUUGUGUUGGCAGGUACUGAACGAGGCUGUAGGAGCUCUGAUGUACUAAACCUCAUAGCGUUGUGUUGGCAGGUACUGAACGAGGCUGUAGGAGCUCUGAUGUACUAAACCUCAUAGCGUUGUGUUGGCAGGUACUGAACGAGGCUGUAGGAGCUCUGAUGUACUAAACCUCAUAGCGUUGUGUUGGCAGGUACUGAACGAGGCUGUAGGAGCUCUGAUGUACUAAACCUCAUAGCGUUGUGUUGGCAGGUACUGAACGAGGCUGUAGGAGCUCUGAUGUACUAAACCUCAUAGCGUUGUGUUGGCAGGUACUGAACGAGGCUGUAGGAGCUCUGAUGUACUAAACCUCAUAGCGUUGUGUUGGCAGGUACUGAACGAGGCUGUAGGAGCUCUGAUGUACUAAACCUCAUAGCGUUGUGUUGGCAGGUACUGAACGAGGCUGUAGGAGCUCUGAUGUACUAAACCUCAUAGCGUUGUGUUGGCAGGUACUGAACGAGGCUGUAGGAGCUCUGAUGUACUAAACCUCAUAGCGUUGUGUUGGCAGGUACUGAACGAGGCUGUAGGAGCUCUGAUGUACUAAACCUCAUAGCGUUGUGUUGGCAGGUACUGAACGAGGCUGUAGGAGCUCUGAUGUACUAAACCUCAUAGCGUUGUGUUGGCAGGUACUGAACAAGGCUGUGGGAGCUCUGAUGUACUAAACCUCAUAGCGUUGUGU